rnacentral:lncRNA from 1 species
CACGAAUUUCCACAAAAUCCUAUAAAAUUGUAAAAAUUGUAAAAAAUUGUUUUUCUUGUAUUUUAUGAGAGUAAUUCACAUAGGGCAAAAAUCACGUGCUCACAAAACCAAUUCAAAAUUGAUGGAUAUCUAUUUAAGCAUUUUGGCAUCACACUACCAUCAUGGCUAUAUCAAGAUGAACAGUACAUGAUACUCAUUAACCUAAACAACAAAUUUGCAUUAAACCCUUGAGAAGAUGAAACUCAUACACACAAUGUGACUCAUCAGAACAUCAACAUGCAGUAUAAAGCUUUAUAACAUGCAGUACAAAUCCUUUAACAUCCUAUAAUCUUACAGAGCUUUCAAACAGAACAAAUUCCUACAAUAUUCGAUCCUACUGGGACACAUUACUAUAUACAUCCAUAACUAAAUUCUAAUUAGCUAAAAGGAACAUAGAUGACAGAGUAAAAGUAACAAGAAUAAAAUCAGCAAAUAUCAAUCACUCCACGCAUUCAUUAUGCCAUUUUUGAAGUAAGAGGCAAACGAUCCACAUAUUCAUAUUCAUAAUCGAUAACCAAGAGAUGUUCAACUUACAUACCUGGAUACAAGCAAACAAAGCAAAGGAAUAAAUCUUUGAACUUGACAAGGGACAAACAAGCAACAUAAAACUAGCAACAAAAAUGCAGCAGUAAUAAUCAACACCAGCUUCAGAUUAAAUCAUUUUUCUUGACUCCAAAAUCACUAGAAAUCGAAAAAAGAGUUCCCCUUAAACUUUUGUGAAAGAAGGAAAGAGUGAAAGGUUGAAUACAAGCAUCAAUAUUUUCAGAAAAGAAUUAUUAGCCGUUUGCUAUUUUUAGGUGUUGUAAUCUCUGCCCUAGGUUUGAAUGAAAAGAGCCUUUUAUAGAAAGGUUCUAGGCAGCAAAACCUGAUUUUCUUAAUUCACUCUCACCUCAAUUGAAUUUGCUCUUGUUCAUUUCAGUCCCUAAAUUUUAAGCAUGUGUGUUAAACCUCCCAAUUCCCACCUUUCUAGAUAGUUAGGGAAGAUUCCUUCUACUCAAUUCUCCUAACUACCCCUCAAAAGGUUUGGUAAUUACUUUAAACAUUAACAGACUACCCCAAAUGCCUUUGGGCUUCUGCUCUAACAAGCUUCAACAGACUUUUUGGGCUUCUUGCACUAGCAAGCCCAAUUUCAAGUCUAAGCAAACAAAUUCACAAGAAAUCCACCAACCAAAUUCUGAAUCCAACUAACAUAAGAUCUUCUAACGAAGUAGAAAUAAAAGGAAAGGAGUAAAAGGAAAGAAGAAAAUUAACAAGUACUAACAAAGAUAUUAUCUGUACUAUUAAGCUAAUACUACCAAAUUAGUCGAUUGAAAACCCAUGUUUUUUAAACCCAACUGAGAUAAAGAGGAAGAGAACUAUACCGACUAGAUCGAUAGCUCAAAGAUGAUGGCAUUCGGCGAGAGGAACCUCAACCGCAUGGUGUGAACUGUAACAUUGAGCACUAGCCGUAAUUUCUUCAAUGGCUUGUGCUCUUUGCCAUAAUCCUCAUCACGAUUCAAGAACGAAGACGAAGCAGAAGCUCAAAGUAUUGGCUCAUCAAUGGUUAUCUUCACCAGAAAUAAGUUACCAUGGAAUGAAUCGAAAUCACAACCAAUUGACUAGUCGAUUCCCACAUGUUAUUUUCAAGAAGAUGCCAGGUGAGGAAGGAAUCAGAAAAGGGAAACUAUGUUGGAUCUUCUGCAAUCUUUGAAUUAAGAUUCGGAAAGAUUUGGUAAUUUUUGGAGGAAAUCAAUAGUGGAUUUGGAAUGGAAGGGGGUGGGGGAACGGAGGUUGUGUGGUCAAUUUUUGGUGGAGUUUGGAGAUCCACCGUCGGCAAUGGUGAAUUCCGGUGGUUGGCGGAUGGUGGUGAGAGAUAAGGUGUGAGGGAGAUGAAGAACAAGGUACUAUGUUGUCUCUGAAAGAUUUGGACAUUCUUAAACGGGUGGGCUGGGGCUUUAAUGAACGUUGGAUAAAAGAAACUGAAGGGCCACGAUUCACUUGGACUGGUCUACGACGUAGUUUGGACUUUGUACUUUGUACUAGAAUCUCAAAACCGCGGGGGUUCCCAUAACGCCGGUACAAGAAGUAGAAUGUGCAGAAUCCCUUAGCCAAAUUUCCGUCUUUAACUUCCCGACUGAUGCUUAGAAGAUCCAAAAACUUAUGAGGAGUCACUGUUCUAGGUGCCACUGGGUAUUGAUUUAUGUGAUUCUCACUAAAACCAGUGUAUCCCGGUAUUUCCUUAAGCAUAUGGGUUAGCUCAAAAUCAGCAAAAUAGAACACAUUAUGUGCUGGGUCCCAAAAGGGUAUCAAAACCUCAAUUAUAUCCUUUCUCGGCUUAAUCUCCAGAAGACCAACAAGACCUCCCAAAUCUUUUAUCACAGUAUCUUGGCUGACUUCCCCUAAAUCAUUCCACCACAUGUGGAGUUCUAACGGGAUUUCCUCGAGGACCGUGAAAGGUUCAUUUUCAAUCAUGCUCAUCCUACACAUUUAUUUAAAGUGAUUGGUUAAAAGACUGUGAUUUACUUUGACUCAAAAGAAAAAUACUAAUUUUUGAAAAAAUUGCAAUUUAAAAACAAAACACUUUCGUGAAUACAACCCUUCAACACCUCAAAAAAGAAGAUUUUAGGGCUGUGUUUGCUAAUCAACCAAAAUUUGAAAAAGGGCCUUAGGUGGAUAUUAUUGCAAAAGCAGCCUUCCGGUGCCCUUUUGGGGCAUUUGGCUAUUUUGGACAAGAACAGCACUACCUAAUUUAUUUUUGACAAAAUAGCGACACCUCAUAUUUUUUGGGUUAUUUUCGCAAAAAUGGAGUUGGACCCGAUGAGGGUUGCCUAUGUAUCGCACAUCCGGUGAGAAUCAAACUUGCGUAGUUCGGUCAAUUUUGACGCAACAGAAAACAUAAACACUUGAAAUGGUUUUUUUUUUCAAAAAUUUCGGCAGAGUUUCGGGAUAUUUUGGAUACCAGAUUUUUCACAGGUGGGUAAUUUCCUCUCUCUCACCUCAAUUUGAUUUUUCUCAAUUUUUCUCCCCUAUUCUAGAAGCCGGUCAACAUGCUAUCCGAGUCAAAUAAAUGUGCAAGUAGCAAGUAAAAAUGCAUCAGGAUGACCUUUUGAUUUUGGGUACACUUGUCCUAGACGGACCCAACCCCUGUGUUGAUUCCCCAAAAUCAAAUGCACGCGAUGCAAACAAGCGUUUCUACUAUGGAUCCGACAUGAGUCUAUGUUAUAUUAGGUUUGAAAACCUGGGUUUAUUUGUUCUAGACCUGGCUUACCUGAGUGGACAACUUGAGCCGGGGGGGGGGGGGGAGGUAGCGUACCGAGNNNNNNNNNNNNNNNNNNNNNNNNNNNNNNNNNNNNNNNNNNNNNNNNNNNNNNNNNNNNNNNNNNNNNNNNNNNNNNNNNNNNNNNNNNNNNNNNNNNNNNNNNNNNNNNNNNNNNNNNNNNNNNNNNNNNNNNNNNUGAUUUAGAAAACUUAGAGAGAUGAGGGUUUUGCAACAAUUUAUAUAUAGUUCAACAAUAUCAAAGCGGUAAAAGGUAACAUUUAACAUAUUAGGCCCAAACAUGUAAAUAAAACUAGAUAAUAAAUAAAUCCAAAUAUAACAAUUAUUCUAAGCUUGAAUUCUUGAACCCUGAACCAGAGAUUCUGGGUUCGUAUCCUCAGCAAAGUCACUAGAGCUGUCACACCUCCUUUUUUUUUACCCCGAAAGGGUAUAAGGGAGUUUUUCCCAAUUUAAGUGACUAUCUAAACAGGAUUAUUUAUUUAUGAUUCAGAGUCACCAUUUGGGAUAAUUUAUGGUAUACCAAGUUACCAGUUUAAAAUCCCGAAUCAAAGAAAGAUCGACUCUGUUUUAUAGUCCACAAACACGAAAAUCCAGGUAAGGAAUUCUGUUAACCCGGAAGAAGGUGUUAGGCAUUCUCGGGUUCCAUGGUUCUAGCACGGUCACUCAACUAUUAUUAUUGGCCUAAUUAUCUGAUUUUAAAGCACUUUUAAACCUAUGUGCAUUUUUCAACUUUAAUACCACUUUUAUUUGUUUAAGGAAUUAUUUUAAACACAUCAUAAGCCACGCUACAUAAAAUGCACCCAUGAGUCAUGACACGUUCUAUUUAACCUUAUUGGAAAUUAGAACUGGGUCACAUGAAAUGUACCCCCGGAUUUAGUAGUAUCCAUGAUAAUUAUAUAAUUAACGUGCCUAAAGCAAACUACGGUGUUUAUUUUUAAUAUCUAAAUUAUAACAUAUGAGGGCCAUAGGUUGUGGGUUUAUUUGCGUAUGGCGCACCUCAAAUUAUUUUUAAAGGGAAAUAUUUGUAUUAUUCUUUUUAGGUGGCAAACUAAAGAUGCUCUUACUUUAAUCUAAUUUGAAAAUUGGGUAUCACAACCACGUUACGAGAACCGUAACCGUAGUUGUAAUAAUUAAUUACGUGCCUAACUUAAACUACGAGAUUCAUAAUUCUUGAAACUAAUGCGAGGUUUAAUGAGAGGCUAUGAAUUAACGCUAAGGUAUUAGAUAUUGAUGCACGCUUUUAAAAACCCCUUGUACCAUUUGGCCCAGGGAAACCUAUCACGUUAUUUAAAAGAUAUAAUCCCUACGAGCCAUUGAUCUCAAAAUCAAGCCCAAGCGGAAAGAGGCAUUCCCAAGCCUCAUUAUGGCCUUGCCCCAUCCUUCAGGCCCAAUGGCAACAACUGCCAAUUCAACUACAUAAUAAACGAAUAGCAUAUUUACAGCAGCAUACCCAAGAGGUGAACGAACUAAAUAAAAAUUCCAUUUAGGUUGAAACAUGGCACAAUUAGAAAUGACUCAUUUAACUAACUUUAUAUGCAUUAACCACAUAGUAAAAAAAUAGGCAUGAAAUAUUGCAUAAACCCCCUGAACUCUUAUUCAAACCAAUUCAAAAUUGAUUGAUAUCUAUUUAAGCAUUUUGUCAUCACACUACCAUCAUGGCUAAAUCAAGACGAACAGUACAUCAUACUCAUUAACCUAAACAACAACUUUGCAUUAAAUCCUCGAGAAGAUGAAACUCAUACACACAAUGUCACUCACCAGAACAUCAACAUGCAGUAUAAAGCCUUAUAACAUGCAGUACAAAUCCUUUAACAUCCUAUAAUCCGACAUAUCUUUCAAACAGAACAAAUCCCUACAAUAUUAGAUCCUACUGGGACACAUUACUAUAUACAUCCAUAACUAAAUUCUAAUUAGCUAAAAGGAACAUAGAUGACAGAGUAAAAAUAACAAGAACAAAAUCAGAAAAUAUCAAUCACUCCACGUAUUCAUUAUGCCAUUUUAGAAGUAAGAGGCAAACGAUCCACAACUUCAUAUUCAUAAUCGAUAGCUAAGAGAUAUUCAACCUACAUACCUGACAUCAAACAAAUCAAAGGAAUAAAUCUUUAGACUUGACAAGGGCCAAACAAGCAACAGAAAACCAGCAACAAAAAUGCAGCAGCAAUAAUCAACACCAGCUUCAGAUUAAAUCAUUUUUCUUGACUCCAAAAUCACCAGAAAUCGAAAGAAGAGUUCGCUUUAAACCUUUGUGAAAGAAGGAAAGAGUGAAAGGUUGAAAACAAGCAUCAAUAUUUUCUGAAAGAAGUAUCAGCCGUUUGCUAUUUUUAGGUGUUGUA